UUGAAACCUUUGUAACUAUUAAGGUUGAAGUGCCAUUUAAAGAAAAAGGAAGGCAAAGAAGUGAGCUAUAGGAAGCCCUGGCUAAGAACACUGCGAGAAACGCACAGCAUACACAUCUCAGCCAUUCAGCCUGUGCCCAGGACAUGCUAUUUAUUGGUGGUUACAUAUUGGUAAGA
rnacentral:lncRNA from 1 species